ACGGGUGCGUAACGCGUGGGAAUCUGCCCUUGGGUUCGGAAUAACAGUUAGAAAUGACUGCUAAUACCGGAUGAUGUCUUCGGACCAAAGAUUUAUCGCCCAGGGAUGAGCCCGCGUAGGAUUAGGUAGUUGGUGGGGUAAUGGCCCACCAAGCCGACGAUCCUUAGCUGGUCUGAGAGGAUGAUCAGCCACACUGGGACUGAGACACGGCCCAGACUCCUACGGGAGGCAGCAGUGGGGAAUAUUGGACAAUGGGCGCAAGCCUGAUCCAGCAAUGCCGCGUGAGUGAUGAAGGCCUUAGGGUUGUAAAGCUCUUUUACCAGGGAUGAUAAUGACAGUACCUGGAGAAUAAGCUCCGGCUAACUCCGUGCCAGCAGCCGCGGUAAUACGGAGGGAGCUAGCGUUGUUCGGAAUUACUGGGCGUAAAGCGUACGUAGGCGGUUACUCAAGUCAGAGGUGAAAGCCCGGGGCUCAACCCCGGAACUGCCUUUGAAACUAGGUAGCUAGAAUCUUGGAGAGGUCAGUGGAAUUCCGAGUGUAGAGGUGAAAUUCGUAGA
rnacentral:rRNA from 3 species